AGAGUUUGAUCAUGGCUCAGGACGAACGCUGGCGGCGUGCUUAACACAUGCAAGUCGAGCGAUGAAGCCCAGCUUGCUGGGUGAAAGAGUGGCGAACGGGGGAAUCACACGUGAGUAACCUGCCCUUCACUCGGGGAUAAGCGCUGGAAGCGGCGUCUAAUACUGGAUACAACACUUACAGGCAUCUGUUGGGGGUGGAAAGAUUUAUCUAUGAGGGAUGGGCUCGCGGCCUAUCAGGUACUAGGCGAGGUAGCGCCUCAACGAUGACACGACAGGUAGCCAGUCAGACAGGGUGACCAGUCCCACUGGAAGUGAGACUCGGGAAACACGCCUACUGGAGGAAACACUGAGGAAUACUUGACAAGGGAAUCAUGAAUGAUCCAGGAAUGCCGCGUGAGUGAUGAAGGCACUAUGGUUGUAAUGCUCUUACACCAAUGAACAGCAUGACUGUAGCCGCCGAACACGCCCCUGCUAACUCCAUGAUACCAGCCUAGGUAAU
rnacentral:rRNA from 1 species